AAGGGUUUGGCUGUUCGCCAAUUAAAGCGGUACGUGAGCUGGGUUUAAAACGUCGUGAGACAGUUUGGUCCCUAUCUUUCGUGGGCGCAGGAUAUUUGAGAGGAUCUGUCCCUAGUACGAGAGGACCGGGAUGGACGAACCUCUGGUGGUCCAGUUGUCGCGCCAGCGGCAUAGCUGGGUAGCUAUGUUCGGAAGGGAUAACCGCUGAAAGCAUCUAAGCGGGAAACCCACCUCAAGAUUAGAUAUCCCUUUCCCGUGGAAACACGGGAAACUGAAGGCCCCUUGUAGACUACAAGGUUGAUAGGCCAGGGGUGUAAGUCCAGUAAUGGAUUUAGCUUACUGGUACUAAUAGGCCGUGCGGCUUGACCAU
rnacentral:rRNA from 1 species